rnacentral:rRNA from 1 species
UACGUAGGUCGCAAGCGUUGUCCGGAUUUACUGGGCGUAAAGAGCGCGCAGGCGGCUGGGCAAGUCCGAUGUGAAAUCUCCCGGCUCAACUGGGAAACUGCAUCGGAAACUGAUCGGCUUGAAGAUGGGAGAGGGUAGUGGAAUUCCCGGUGUAGUGGUGAAAUGCGUAGAUAUCGGGAGGAACACCAGUGGCGAAGGCGACUACCUGGCCCAUUCUUGACGCUGAGGCGCGAAAGCUAGGGGAGCGAACGGG